GUAGUGUGAAUUGCAGAAUUCCGUGAACCAUCGAAUCUUUGAACGCAAAUUGCGCUCGAGGCCUCGGCCAAGAGCAUGUCUGCCUCAGCGUCGGCU
rnacentral:rRNA from 2 species